rnacentral:rRNA from 1 species
GACAGAGGGUGCAAACGUUGUUCGGAAUUACUGGGCGUAAAGCGCAUGUAGGCGGUUCGUAAAGUCAGAUGUGAAAGCCCUGGGCUUAACCCAGGAAGUGCAUUUGAAACUCACGAACUUGAGUCCCGGAGAGGAAGGCGGAAUUCUCGGUGUAGAGGUGAAAUUCGUAGAUAUUGGGAAGAACACCAGUGGCGAAGGCGGCUCACUGGUCCGAUACUGACGCUGAGGUGCGAAAGCGUGGGGAGCAAACAGG